UAAGGUAAUAUUAUUAGCCCCUUUAAGCUCCGCUGAAGCCAAGCAGGGCUGCACCUGGUCAGUACCAGGAUGGGAGACCACAUGGGAAACCUUGGUUGCUGCCGGAA
rnacentral:rRNA from 1 species